UAAUUUCCCCUCAUCUCUUUCUUUUUUGUAUCUGAUAGGGUUGUUAAUUGUUAUCCAUCCAUCUCUCGCUCUCAUCAGCUCCUUUCAUUGUAGCUGGCGUCGAUGCUGUAACCGUUGGGGUUUAUCUCCUUCGAAAAUCUCCGGUUCGUGUUAUUGAGGCAAGUAUCCGGUUGCUGUAGCUGGCGUCGCUGCUGUAGCUGAAGAAGUUCUUCCAUUUUGAUAGGGUUACAAUAUCCACAGUUUAGCAAUCUCGUUGCGGUGACCGUCCACAAAUAUCAAUUGGUCAAGAGAUCCUGAUGGAAGAUAACUUGCCCGAUGAUGAGAUAGAAAUUGAAUUGUCUCCUAUAGCUGUACAAUUGGCCUAUGUCCAGCAGUGGCAGUGAACAAUCUUGUUUCACUGAAAGGUACAAAAGAUGCUUCUGAUAGCCUAAGGAAACUUGAUCGGCUAAAAGAGAAAGAGACGCAGAACUUUCGGCUAGCUCGUGGACUGGAUUUGAAACUUUCAGCAAAGGAAAGGGAGAAAGAGAAAGCUAAGGAAAGGAGAAAGAGAAAGCCAAGGUAUCCUAAAGGGUUUGACCCUGCAAAACCAGGUCCUCCCCCAGAUCCAGAGAGGUGGCUUCCCAAGCGGGAGAGAUCAACUUAUAGGCCUAAGAGGAAGGACAAAAGAGCUGCUCAGGUGAGAGGUUCUCAGGGUGCUGUAGUUAGAGAAAAGCACGGUGCUGUUGCCUUUUCCAGCAAUUCAAAUCCUAAAUCAAACCAGUCAACUGCCUCCAAAGGAGCUACGCAGAAUGCAGUUUGAGCAAAGCAAGCCUUCAUCAUCCAAGUCGAGAAAGAAGUCUUUGAAUUGACCAGGUUUUAUGGUAAUUUUAUUAACAUUUUUUAUUCCAGAAAACUUGUUAAUGCUGCUUUCAGUGACUAAGCCAAGGUUCCAUCUACAAUUUGUGGGUUCAAUUUCAAAACCGUCUGUUUUGGUUCUAGCUAAUGAGUAUGUCUGUUAGAUGCAAGUGUUGUGCAAGUUUGUCAUGCUUAAUUUAUAAGUUUUGGAGAUUCAUGGAAAUUUGGCUGUGGUCUUUUCUAAUUGGUCAAGUAUAUUUAUUAUAGUUGUUAAAUUUUUUUAUAUUUAUUAUCUAACUGUAUUGAUACUGAUAAAUCAUCGGAGAAUUCUGACUAUUACAAUCGUUAUUGAAAAGUUUAAAUUUUUAGUCAUGGAUUAAUGCACCUCGGGAUCAUACUGUAUCAAUAGUUUAUCAAAUUUAUCUCUUCGUAAUACAUCUUUAGACACAUCGCUAUCAACUUAUAUUUUUGGUCAUGUGGUUUCUUAGAAAGAACAACUUGAAAAUAGAAAUACCUCUUGCAGCUAGAGACAUUGACUUAGGUGCUACCAAUGAGAAACAACCAUAGUCAAAUCCAGAGAUAGGUUCUACAUCUCAAUGGGUACGCAAGAGGAAGGGUCUUGCAACCACCUGCAGAGGAAGACUAACACUGCAAAGUAACAUAGUUGCUGUACCUGAUAAGCUUGCAGAUGUUGUAUCAGUGAUUUGCUGAUAAAUUAUAAUGUAAGAAGAAUCUGAAGGCAACACCUGUUGGGGGAUAAUGAAGCAUCUCCACUUUGUCACAUUUGUGGAAGAGGAUCUUAAUAGCUGCGUCAUUCAUUUAACUAGUAGGGAUCUGAUAAGUUUAUACAUAGGGCUGAAUGUGUCCAAGAAGAGUAGUAUGCUGUAUAGGAAUUUCCUUGUGUACUUUGAUCUUUGAUUACACUUUGUUCAUAGUCAUGUACAAUUCUGAUGUGUAACUUAUCAAGCAACUAAAUAUAUUUCAGUGAUUCAAUUAAUAUGAAGCAAU